GUUCUGAGAGGAAGGUCCCCCACAUUGGAACUGAGACACGGUCCAAACUCCUACGGGAGGCAGCAGUGAGGAAUAUUGGUCAAUGGACGAGAGUCUGAACCAGCCAAGUAGCGUGAAGGAUGAAGGUCCUACGGAUUGUAAACUUCUUUUAUAAGGGAAUAAACCCUCCCACGUGUGGGAGCUUGUAUGUACCUUAUGAAUAAGCAUCGGCUAACUCCGUGCCAGCAGCCGCGGUAAUACGGAGGAUGCGAGCGUUAUCCGGAUUUAUUGGGUUUAAAGGGAGCGCAGACGGGUCGUUAAGUCAGCUGUGAAAGUUUGGGGCUCAACCUUAAAAUUGCAGUUGAUACUGGCGUCCUUGAGUGCGGUUGAGGUGUGCGGAAUUCGUGGUGUAGCGGUGAAAUGCUUAGAUAUCACGAAGAACUCCGAUUGCGAAGGCAGCACACUAAUCCGUAACUGACGUUCAUGCUCGAAAGUGUGGGUAUCAAACAGGAUUAGAUACCCUGGUAGUCCACACGGUAAACGAUGGAUACUCGCUGUUGGCGAUAUACUGUCAGCGGCUUAGCGAAAGCGUUAAGUAUCCCACCUGGGGAGUACGCCGGCAACGGUGCAACUCAAAUGAAUUGACGG
rnacentral:rRNA from 1 species